CCCAUUUUCAGCGUGUAUUUUAGUGGUUUUUUUUUCAAAACGGUAACACCUAUACAUGAUAUUUGAUAUUCAUUGUGAAACCCUACAUUCUCUUCUUCAGUUCAAAGAUGUAUUACUUAAUAUGUAAAGUUUAUCUUCUUGUCUUUACAAGCCUAUAACAUAGACCCAAUAUGAAAUGCACAUCUGAUCUUGGCUAGGCCGAGAG
rnacentral:lncRNA from 1 species